ensembl:lncRNA
UUUUUAUUAUUCUCUGUUUAAAUAUGGAGAUGAUUGAUUUGAACUGACAUUUUUGUCUCUUGAUUAACACACACAGGUUAGGUGUUCAGCUUGUUUUACUAUUAAACACCUUACCUUCAUUUCCACCUCAACCAUCCUUUUGAGCAGUCGGUCGACACAAAAAAACCAGUAACACACAGCAUUUUCAAUUUCACUCGCUAAAAAUAGCUUUAUAGUAAUCAUUGUAUUAAUAUUAAUCAUAGUAAUUAGCAAUUAGAAAAUGUUUUACAACGUUGAUAGUGUUACAUUCUGUGUAGGAUAAACCACUUCAGAGUGUACCAACUCUCAGGAUUCAGCGCUAGUCUAGCUAGACAUCUAGGUGAAUCUCAUAAAAUAUACAUAUACCGCAUCUAUAUAAAUAAAUAAUAAUACAUAAAAAAAACUCAAACAUCGAAAAACCACAACACAAUCAACAUAAUCAUGAUGUUUACAGUCACAGUUUCACUGUGCAACACCUUCGCCCCAUUGGUCGCUGGCUUGGCACGCAAAUGGUUCCACUUCCAUGUCGUUAUCUCUUGUCCAAUCAGGGAGGGUGUUUUCAUGCAUCUGUGUACCAUUGGUUGGAUAAACAAAUGGGUGUGUUCUCUUCUGUGGCAACAGCGCUAUUGCUAUGUUCUCCAGUCAGUCCAUCAACUGACAAAUUAAAAUCAAGACAAUGAUAAUUAAUUUGAAACUAAAACAGACGUUGACUUCCGGUCAUCUGAUGAGCUGUGACUUCGUCCCAGUAUCAAACCACACACAUAUAAAAACAGAUAAACACAAAAGAAAGAAAAAAACAGCAAUGGGUCAAGAAAAUAAAGAAUGUCUUGCUGUAGCAUCUGGUCCAUGAAGGCCACGCCUGUCUGAGAGAAAGACCACCAGAGGAAAGACUGAGAGAACAUUGGAAGGAAAAGAAUAUAUGUUUUUGCUACAUUAUUACAGCGUACAGUAGAAUACGUGUGAAGUGUCUGUCCACAUCAGCCCCAUUGCGGUAGUUAAGUCUCCUCGAUGUGGUGCAACAUACAGAAACUACAAACCCCAGAGUUCAGAGUGGAGUAACAUCCUGUAGAUAAUCAGGGAGGUGGUCUUGACCUGGACCCAAAACAGCGUCUGUCAACAGAACGCCUUAACUUGUUUUGGUCACAAACAUUUUCCUGGAAGAACUUUGUUAGUCCUCCACAAGAGCACUCUGUAUCCAUUUUGUCUGGUUUCUUGGUCCAUCCAUCCGUUCACCCAGAGAUCUCCUGGUUCAUCUGUCUAUACAUUAUGCCUUCCAUCCAUUAUUUGUCCAGUAAAAACCAGAGGCAAACUGGAGACCGAAUGUGUGAGGGUGGGGAGUGGGUAGGGCAUGGGGGAGAGGAGGGGGAUUUGGGAGAGGGUAGGGGGGAGGAGAGGAGGGGGAGUGGGUAGGGCAUGGGGGAGAGGAGGGGGAUUUGGGAGAGGGUAGGGGGGAGGAGAGGAGGGGGAGUGGGUAGGGCAUGG